GCGGGAUGGGACAACCCGCUUCUGGGUAGAUUAUAGACGGCUUAAUGAUAAACCUGUAUCAGACGCCUACCCCAUGCCGCGCAUAGACGAGCUGUUAGACAAGAUGGCCCAAGGCCAAUAUCUAACCACGAUCGACCUUUGCAAAGGGUACUGGCAAAUCCCUUUAGCUGAGGACGCCAUCCCUAAGUCAGCGUUUGUCACUCCGUUUGGCCUAUACCAGUUUAGAGUCAUGCCUUUUGGAAUGAAAAACGCUCCAGCCACCUUCCAGAGGAUGGUAGACCAACUAUUAGACGGGUUUCAGGAAUACGCGUGCGCCUAUCUGGACGACAUAGCGAUUUUUAGCUAUUCCUGGACCGAACACCUGAG